CCUACGGGAGGCAGCAGUGGGGAAUAUUGGACAAUGGGCGAAAGCCUGAUCCAGCCAUGCCGCGUGUGUGAAGAGGGCCUUCGGGUUGUAAAGCACUUUCAGUGGGGAAGAAAGCCUUGGGGCUAAUACCCUCGAGGAAGGACAUCACCCACAGAAGAAGCACCGGCUAACUCCGUGCCAGCAGCCGCGGUAAUACGGAGGGUGCGAGCGUUAAUCGGAAUUACUGGGCGUAAAGCGCGCGUAGGCGGUCUGAUAAGCCGGUUGUGAAAGCCCCGGGCUCAACCUGGGAACGGCAUCCGGAACUGUCAGGCUAGAGUGCAGGAGAGGAAGGUAGAAUUCCCGGUGUAGCGGUGAAAUGCGUAGAGAUCGGGAGGAAUACCAGUGGCGAAGGCGGCCUUCUGGACUGACACUGACGCUGAGGUGCGAAAGCGUGGGUAGCAAACAGGAUUAGAUACCCGUGUAGUC
rnacentral:rRNA from 1 species